rnacentral:rRNA from 1 species
AUACGGAGGGUGCGAGCGUUAAUCGGAAUUACUGGGCGUAAAGCGUGCGUAGGCGGUUAGCUAAGUCAGAUGUGAAAGCCCCGGGCUUAACCUGGGAACUGCAUUUGAUACUGGCAGACUAGAGUAUGAUAGAGGGGGGUAGAAUUCCUGGUGUAGCGGUGAAAUGCGUAGAUAUCAGGAGGAAUAUCAGUGGCGAAGGCGGCCCCCUGGAUCAAUACUGACGCUGAGGUACGAAAGCGUGGGGAGCGAACAGGAUUAGAAACCCUAGUAGUCC